AAACAACAACUUCCCAGAACCAUGUCCAGGGAGGCGAUUGGCAAGCUCUGUGGGUCCCUGUAAGUGCUCUGCCACAUUCCCCAGGAGAGUGGACCAAGCCACCGAGGAGGAGUGGAGAAAACCCACAGCAAAGGCAACAACCAAUCACUGGGACAGCACACAAACUCUGGUGGUUUUACAGUUUCCUUUCCUGAGUAUCAAGAAUUACAAUGCCCCUCCCUCAUCUGCUAUGGUAUAUCUUGAUAUCCACCUCUGCACUGAGGUCCUGGCGUUAGACUGUGGGACAUCUGUGCCACAGAGCACCAUCCUCAGCUCCAAGAGGGCGGACAUGCCAGAACUCUGAUGUGAGGCUGGAGCACCGGUGGGAGGAGGAGUGGUGGAGACCUGAGCACGAACAGCAAUCUCUGCUGAUUCAGCUCUAGCACCUGGCCCUACCACCUCUGCUGCUUUCCUACCCCUAUGCUCAACUAUAUCUCCAGGAACAUGCCAAGCUCCUUUCUGCAUUAAAGUCCCUGUUCACUGGCUCCAGUUGGGAUGCCCAGGUGUCCCUCUAGCCCUUAGGAACAUAGUUUAUAUCCCGGUUCUUUAAGGUUACUCAUUGCUCUCUCCUUCCUUUGAGCUUCCAAAGCAUAUGGCAGCCACCAUCCAAUCAUGUGCUAUUUGGGAUUUUUAACAGAUUAUUCCCUGGAAGGGUCCUAUUUGCCACUGUGGGGAAGGAAGCCUCAGGACAGAUAGAACUGGGACUUUACUUCUUUAGAAUCUCUUUGCAGCACUAUGUCAUGACAGUGCUCAGAAAUGGCUGAUGGACACACUGCUAUUUCCAUCUUUCCUCUGGUCCCAGGAAGGGCAUACAAAGUCCUUCUAACUCUGAUAGAAGCUGUCAACUACCAACAACUUUACUACCUCAAGCAGAUCCACAGCUUAUCUUGAAAUGAAAUGGACAGUGAGUGGGCCUUUUAGAAUUGGGCAUACUGUAUUAUCUCUUUGGAUGAAUUUCAAUGAACCUUAGUAAGCAGACAGCAUAAAUGUGUUAUUCCACCUAGCAGGUGAUAGUCUAUAAAAAUAUAAAUUUAGAUAUUCAGAAUUAACUCAAAACACCAGAGUUACAAUCUUAGAAAAAUAAUGCUUCUCAACAAACUAGAAUUCACAAAGUUAUUUUUUAAAAACUGCAUUUUAGAUCAAUCUGAUUCUCCAGGACAUGCUGAUAAAGGCUGACACGUCUUCAAAAUUAGUUUCCUUAGCAUAGCUAAGCUCAACAUACACGAGUCAGACAUGCAGUAUCUUUCUCAGACUCAGCCCGGUGUACAUGACACUCAGUGGCCUACGAAUCAGACUUUGCCAGCCAUUUUGCUGGGAGCUGGUAUUCAGGCCUGAUCUAAGGGUGUCAUCUCCUGCACAUGUCCUAGGAGAUACAAUCAGACCAGAUCAUUUCGAAGCUGCCUAAAACUCUGACAUUUAAAUGGGUGUUUUGUUUUUCCUUUUUAAAGGAAAAUACACAGACACCCAAAGACAGGAAAUAGUCAGUGCUUUACUUUGGGAGACUUAGGAUUGUCAUUUUUCUCUCAGUUUUGCUGGAAGGGUACUUAACAGCAAAAAGAAAACAAAAUACCCUGGCAAUUACCCUUGCCUAAUGAGCUAAAAGCAACAAGCAAGCAAGUUGUAUGGUAUUUAGCUUAUCUGCAUCAUUUAAGGAGGGUGAUGGCGGUGGGGUUAUAAAAUGCCACGUAUCAUGUUCUUUCUCUCACCCCUCAUUACUCACAUAUUUGCGUACAUGUAUGUGCUCACAUGUGUGCAAACACACACACAUGCUCCCUCCCUCACUCCAUCUUCCCAGACCUCACCUGGUUGAUAACAUAGAUGCCGUAGUCUAACUGCUGACGCUGUAGGAUUGGGUGCAAGUAAUACAGCCAGUACUUGAGAUGUUCCUGCCGGUUACGGAAUGGUAUAAUGAUGGCCACCUUGUGGGGAGAGAUGCAGUUCUUGGGGGUAUAGCGGCCGCCCACCUUCACCUCUGGAUUCUGUUUCUCCACAAGCUUCAGGUCCACAGGCAUGUUAAACUCGAUCACCAUAGGGCCGACUAGAGAGGUGGAAGGAAGGAGAAGUUAGCAGGCUACAGGGUUCACCCAGGCCACAGCCUCGGGAGACAUAUCCUCUGGGAGGCAGUGUGGCUGUGGAAAAGGCACUCAUGUCCAGCACUAGCAUGAUCAACCAUCCCAAGAAACCCCUCAGUACCAGGCAAAGCUGGACAGCUGGCCACCCUAUGAAGCACUCAUCUGCCCAGGACCCACCCCCUCAGAUUCUAUGUUUCUCAGCUCUAAAUGGAAAUAGAGUGAUUGCUGCUCAGACGUCCUGAAAGGUUGUUGUAAGGAUCAGAGAAAAUGGAUGAGAAAGCACUUUCUCAGAAAUCCUGAGGUUGAGACCUAACUUUGCCACCUCCCAGCUCAGCUGUGUGGCCUUACACAAAUGACUUCCAUCGACUCUCUGAAAUUAGCCUAGUUGGAGAAAGGGGGGAGAGAGAGAGAGAGAGAGAGAGAGAGAGAGAGAGAGAGAGAGAGAGAGAGAGAAAGAGUGUAUGUGUGUGUGUUGGGGAGGACAGUGUUAUGGGAAUCAGCCUCAAAUUGGAAGGUAGCAAGAAGUGGCAUGAAUAACCUAUAUCUCAGGAAGGCACUUGAUGCACUGAUUUAAAAAACAAAAACAAAAAACAAAAAAAACUUCAAGGA